GCUCAGAACUGGUACGGACAAGGGGAAU
rnacentral:ncRNA from 2 species